rnacentral:hammerhead_ribozyme from 1 species
AUCCGGAUGACGAGUCUCAAAUAGGACGAAAUACACGCAUCUUGGAU